rnacentral:piRNA from 1 species
UGCAAAGACGUAGGAUGGGAGC